GCUCUCCUCUCUCAACACUCACCUCUCCAGCCCUACAAACUCUCGAAGAACCCAAAUUAAUCAAACCCAUCCUCCCGCUUCUUUUUUUGGUAUUUUUUUACAUUGAUUUUUUAACUUUUACGCCUUUACAUCAAACAAAUCGCUUUGGUAUGAUUCGAUUAUGUAUGAAGCUCCGGUUCUGUGGAGGGCUGCCGAUCGUGCAUUACGAUAAUGGAACGGGAAGAGGAGUGCUGAUGAUUCUUUCCCAACAAAUAUGAUACACAUGUAUUCUAAUCGUCGCGUUAGAGUUCAUCUACGGAUCUACAAGAUUUCGACAUUCAAAAGUAAAGGUGUACUUUUUCCGAUUCUUAAUUUACAUGUUUAUGUGACUAUUUGUUUUCUUAGUAUAUUCAAUACUUUAUGUUUUUGAAAGUUUUGAUGUGAUAUUCAGAUUUUCUCUUUAAGUUUGUAUUUGUGCGCGAUUAUCAAUUGUUGUACGUGUUGUUUUAUGUCAUAAUUUUGUCUUUUUUGAUUUAUCUGGUAGAUGAGAAUGUCGGUGAAGUGUAGUCAAACUUAUGAUGUAUAUUAAGUGGUUAAUAUGUUUGUUUUCUUAUCAAUUUUUUGAGUCACAAGUUUUAUUUGCAAUUGUGUUUUAUGAUUUUCUAAGUUAGAAUUUGUUCAUCCUUUUUGUUAUUGACUUGAUGAGAUAUGGUGAUGGUUGGUCAUGAUAAGAUGGUAGUAUCAAUUAGCGUGAUUUUGAAAAUAUUUUCAUUAAUUUUAUUGCAUGAUUAAAGGCUUUGCUUUGUAAAAUUAAUAAGGUUUUUGGCCUCUUUUAUUAAAUUAAAUUGGCUUUGAUAGUAGUUAUUGCAGUUUAAAUUUUAGUUUUUAAAUGGUAAGUUGACUCACUUGAUUGGUGUUAAUCUUUGAAUUUUAUUUUUUCUUGAAUAAUUGCUUGUAUAUAUAUGCUCUAAAUGCUUUAAUUCUCAUUGAUUGGAGUUUAAUGCAUUAUGUUAACUGGUGUAUAUUGACUUGCAGUCUUGAUUUGGCUUUUAUUUGUACCAUUUAUGGGUGGCCAUGAUUGAUGGCGUAUAUUCUUGGCCUAAUAAACGGCAAUUCAGUGCCAUUUUGUUGGCUUGUUUAUUACAUUUUAUUUAAUUUGUUACUUAAAAUUUUAGAUAUUUUUUGAAGAUUGCAAUUUUAUAUAUUAAUACUUUUAUCAUUAAUUAUUCUUAGUAAUUAUUUAUCUUGUGAUAUAUCUAGCCAAAGGGUNNNN
rnacentral:lncRNA from 1 species